rnacentral:rRNA from 1 species
CAGCCGCCGCGGUAAUACAGAGGGUGCGAGCGUUAAUCGGAUUUACUGGGGGUAAAGCGUGCGUAGGCGGCUUUUUAAGUCGGAUGUGAAAUCCCUGAGCUUAACUUAGGAAUUGCAUUCGAUACUGGGAAGCUAGAGUAUGGGAGAGGAUGGUAGAAUUCCAGGUGUAGCGGUGAAAUGCGUAGAGAUCUGGAGGAAUACCGAUGGCGAAGGCAGCCAUCUGGCCUAAUACUGACGCUGAGGUACGAAAGCAUGGGGAGCAAACAGGAUUAGAUACCCCUGUAGUCCCUGUCUCUUAUAC